AGUAGAAAUAAUGGGAUAGAAAUCCAAUAAUGAGAUAGAAAUCCAAGAAUAAAAUCUGAUGCGGGCGGUGGACCAGAAACCAGAGUAUCACUUGGAGUGGCCUUAUAGUAUUAUAGCAAACUGUGCUCUUGAGGAGACACCAGAUACACUUAGACAUAGGCUAUUAAUCUUUUAGAGCUACUAUAUGCAAAGUGAUGAGAAAGUGAGCUCCAAAGGGGGGUGUCAGUACACUCUACAAACCAUAACAGUAAGAGCAGGAGAGGUACGCAAACUUUCUGGACUUCGGACAAGCGUUUCAUGGUGCUGCUACUACUUCACUGCAUUGAGAGCUGGAAAAUAUGCUUUGUUCCAUGCAGUUAUAAACACACUUUAAUUCUGUGAAACGUACAUGUUAUAAAAUUAUUUCAUAUUGGAGAUAUAGGUACAUAAACUGACAAAUCGGUGUUUUUUCACACAAAUCAAGCUGAAUAAAAGAAAACUCGGCACUAACAUAGCAACUGUAGCUAUCAGUAGUGCUGGGUCUAUGUGUGCAUGAUGCCUGAUUGUUUUGAAUUUCUCUUUUAGGCCCCCUACGAGAAAAAUAAGCAGAUAUAGGGAUCAUUGUGUACUUUCUUGAGCGCAACUCGCCUCCAACCAGAGGGUGUGACGCCACACACUGCAUUUACCUAGCAUCACGUGGGGCGUUGCCUAUCCCUUUCUUUCGUGUAUCUAUGGUUGUAUAUAGAUAUAUCUUUGCACUGCCUCUAAUCUUUUAACCAUAACUUUAAAUAGCCUCAAUAGAAUCUAAAAGUGCCAUGCAAAACCUGUUUCUAUAAUUCCCCCCUCCCUGCUGGGAUCUGGGAAUAUAGGUACAUGAGGAUUAGACUUGAAAUGAUCUCCCUACCUAGAUGUGUACAUAUAAGAUUCUAAUAUUGCUGUCUUAGGCCAGCUAGAUAUCUGUGCCUAUCAUAAUUUAAAAGCAGGCUAAUUAUUGUUGCAAAGUUUAAAGGUUACGAACUGCCAACUACCAACUCCCAACUGCCAACUACCAACUACCAACUCCCAACUACCAACUCCCAACUGCCAACUACCAACUGCCAACUACCAACUACCAACUACCAACUCCCAACUACCAACUCCCAACUGCCAACUGCCAACUCCCAACUGCCAACUACCAACUGCCAACUGCCAACUACCAACUGCCAACUGCCAACUGAACUAUCAAGUAGCAACUGCGAACUACCAACUACGUAUUUGAACUAUCAAGUAGCAACUACGCGUUUGAACUAUCAAGUAUGAACUACCAACUAGAGUAGCGCUCAGGGCCACCAUAGCCAACUACCAACUCCCAACUACCAACUGCCAACUACCAUGCAACUACCAACUCCCAACUGCGAACUACCAACUGCCAACUGCCAACUACGUGUUUGAACUAUCAAGUUAGUAGCAACUGCGAACUACCAACUACGCAUUUGAACUAUCAAGUAGCAACUGCUAACUACCAACUACGCAUUUGAACUAUCAAGUAUGAACUACCAACUAGAGUGUAGCGCUCAGGGCCACCGUAGCCUUGCCCCUUUCAGAGAUUAUUAUCAUCUUGGAAUUCCGAAUCCUGGCCGCCUCUAACCGCAGAGCUCAGAGAAGGGGAGGAGUUGGGAAGCGAACCGAUAGCUAUUACGUAAGCAUUCUGCAAUCUGAUUGGUGCUGCAAAACAAAAAACCUGCCUUCGCCUGUUGUGGAGAUAAUAAAAGAGUCAGUUGGGCAAUUAUUCGAGCAUUUCUACACUUGCACUUGGACUGCUCAACUGCGCUGCUCAACUGCGCUGCUCACACUCGACUCUCUCGCUGGUGGACCUGUCUCUCUCUCUCUCUCUCUCUGGCUGCGCUGGUGGGUUACUGUAUCUUAUAUGCCUGAGCCUCAGGGCUAGGCUUAGACUGGAAACCAGUCCCCUUCUCUCGGGAGAAAGGGACUGGCAAGCUGCCGUGUUGAGAGUUGUCCCAGUGCGUGAAGAAUGUCACGCAGCCACAAGAAUGUAAACGUCACAAAUACUCACGUGCCACCGCCCACACGCUAACUACAUGACUGUAUUACUGACAAAAAUAUGAUCGGCCUCGAGUAUAAGUACAUCACUGGCGGUCUGUUAUCGAGGAUGAAAUAAUAUCACCCACGCAUUACUCAUUUUUGUGGUUUGUUCUAAUUGCAUUCCAACGGGACAACUCUCAAUACGGCAACUUGCCAGUCCCCAGAGCCCAGAGCGAAGGGAGUGGUUUCCAGUCUAGGCUAGGCUAGGGCUAGGGAGGUUCGUAGAGCGUUUUAUUUUAAAUAGGAUUAGAGCAGUUCAAUAUGGGAAGUAAACGCUGUACGUACGUAUAUACCUUACAAGUACGUAGAGGUUGGUAGAUUAUGCUCGAGAUAUUACCUAGCUCCUAUUAUGCUAUUCUUUUUAAUAUGAUCACGUAAACAGCCUAUUAUUCUUUUCAAAUCGUCGUGCGCCCCCUGCUCUCUUUCUGUGUGGAUCUGGAUGCGGGGGGUCGUGCACCCCCUGCUCUCUUUCUGUGUGGGUCUGGCUGCGGGGGGUCGUGCGCCUCCUGCUCUCUUUCUGUGUGGAUCUGGCUGCGGGGGGUCCGUGCACCCCCUGCAUGCUCCCUGGGAUGUGAGAGUGUAUAGGGGGUCCUAUAUGGGCCGAAUCACUAUAAUAUGAACGAGCUCUGUGGCGUACCUCCUGGGUAGCUUGGAAAGCGUCACACACUAAUUAUUCAACAGAUCAGGUAACAAUAAAACUGCCAUAAUAUAUUUUUCGUACAUUUUACUGCAGCGAUGAAGGAAAGUUCAAUUGCAUGCAAGAAUUAUGUACAAUUUGCUGUGUAUUUUUAUUUUACUCUGACAACAUUCCACCUCAACUCACUUUCUUUUUUUUUUUUUGUAGCUUUUUCUCUUACUUUCUCAACCUUGUUAAUUGCAUUACAACUGUUUAUUAAUUAAAUAUGUCAGCUCAA